rnacentral:snRNA from 1 species
GAGCUCCAAGUGGGCCAUU